CUGGGGGGAGUGGGUGUUUCUACCAAAGUCUUGAAGGUUCUCCUAAACCCAGGCCUGGGAUGCCCACUCACCUUGCCCUACUUUCUUGAAAACCAAGAUGAGCCAUACUCCAGUUGAGCAGUCUGUGAUGGGCUUGAUCGUCCUAUUCCACAAAUACUCCAAACCUGAUGACAAGAUUGACAAGCAGAGCCUGCUGAAGAUGCUGAAGGAGAAUUUCCCUAUCUUCCUCAAGGCCUGUG